AAAGCGUGCGCAGGCGGUCUUGUAAGACAGAGGUGAAAUCCCCGGGCUCAACCUGGGAACUGCCUUUGUGACUGCAAGGCUAGAGUACGGCAGAGGGGGAUGGAAUUCCGCGUGUAGCAGUGAAAUGCGUAGAUAUGCGGAGGAACACCGAUGGCGAAGGCAAUCCCCUGGGCCUGUACUGACGCUCAUGCACGAAAGCGUGGGGAGCAAACAGGAUUAGAUACCCGAGU
rnacentral:rRNA from 1 species